rnacentral:rRNA from 1 species
UUGCAGUUAAAAAGCUCGUAGUUGGAUUUCUGCGGGGGCGGGGCGGCCGAACGCUUAUAGCGUUUCGAGCUAGCACUUCCCCUGCAUCCUGCCGCGAACCGUGCUACCAUUAGUUUGGUGGCGCCGGGGAUCGGCUCGUUUACUUUGAGAAAAAUAGAGUGUUCAAAGCAGGCCACACGCCUUGAAUAAGUUAGCAUGGAAUAAUGAUAAAGGACUUCGGUUCUAUUUUGUUGGUGUUCGGGACUGAAGUAAUGAUUGAUAGGGACAGUUGGGGCGGUCCGUAUUCCAAAGCGAGAGGUGAAAUUCUUAGACCUUCGGAAGACGAACAGCUGCGAAAGCGUUCCGCAAGGAUGUUCCCUUUGAUCAUGAACGAAAGUUGGGGGAUCGAAGACGAUCCAGAUACCGUCGUAGUCUCAACUAUAAACUAUUACCAGCUAGGGAUC